AACUUUUCGUUGAUGAGGAAAGUAAACUUGAAAGACUUCUCAGAGAGACUCUGUCCGGUGCAAAGAGUCAAGUUCGCAAAGUUGAAAAAUGGCCUCGGAGAAUAAUCUGUCGAUAGGUAGGCAGGUUCGGUUCACGUUCAUCCGUUAAAAUGAACACCAAUCUCUUCAAAUGAAGAUGUUGGGCAGAGGGAAGGAAACUUCCGAAUAAAGGUGGUACCACGAUUGAUCGUCCUUUUA
rnacentral:ncRNA from 1 species